UGAGGAAUAUUGGUCAAUGGGCGCAGGCCUGAACCAGCCAAGUAGCGUGAAGGAUGACUGCCCUAUGGGUUGUAAACUUCUUUUAUAAAGGAAUAAAGUCGGGUAUGUAUACCCGUUUGCAUGUACUUUAUGAAUAAGGAUCGGCUAACUCCGUGCCAGCAGCCGCGGUAAUACGGAGGAUCCGAGCGUUAUCCGGAUUUAUUGGGUUUAAAGGGAGCGUAGAUGGAUGUUUAAGUCAGUUGUGAAAGUUUGCGGCUCAACCGUAAAAUUGCAGUUGAUACUGGAUAUCUUGAGUGCAGUUGAGGCAGGCGGAAUUCGUGGUGUAGCGGUGAAAUGCUUAGAUAUCACGAAGAACUCCGAUUGCGAAGGCAGCCUGCUAAGCUGCAACCGACAUUGAGGCUCGAAAGUGUGGGUAUCAAACAGGAUUAGAUACCCUGGUAGUCCACACGGUAAACGAUGAAUACUCGCUGUUUGCGAUAUACUGCAAGCGGCCAAGCGAAAGCGUUAAGUAUUCCACCUGGGGAGUACGCCGGCAACGGUGAAACUCAAAGGAAUUGACGGGGGCCCGCACAAGCGGAGGAACAUGUGGUUUAAUUCGAUGAUACGCGAGGAACCUUACCCGGGCUUAAAUUGCAGAUGAAUUACGGUGAAAGCCGUAAGCCGCAAGGCAUCUGUGAAGGUGCUGCAUGGUUGUCGUCAGCUCGUGCCGUGAGGUGUCGGCUUAAGUGCCAUAACGAGCGCAACCCUUGUUGUCAGUUACUAACAGGUUCCGCUGAGGACUCUGACAAGACUGCCAUCGUAAGAUGUGAGGAAGGUGGGGAUGACGUCAAAUCAGCACGGCCCUUACGUCCGGGGCUACACAUGUGUUACAAUGGGGGGUACAGAGGGCCGCUACCACGCGAGUGGAUGCCAAUCCCCAAAACCUCUCUCAGUUCGGACUGGAGUCUGCAACCCGACUCCACGAAGCUGGAUUCGCUAGUAAUCGCGCAUCAGCCACGGCGCGGUGAAUACGUUCCC
rnacentral:rRNA from 1 species